rnacentral:rRNA from 1 species
UGCUGGAGGUAUCAGAAGUGCGAAUGCUGACAUAAGUAACGAUAAAGCGGGUGAAAAGCCCGCUCGCCGGAAGACCAAGGGUUCCUGUCCAACGUUAAUCGGGGCAGGGUGAGUCGACCCCUAAGGCGAGGCCGAAAGGCGUAGUCGAUGGGAAACAGGUUAAUAUUCCUGUACUUGGUGUUACUGCGAAGGGGGGACGGAGAAGGCUAUGUUGGCCGGGCGACGGUUGUCCCGGUUUAAGCGUGUAGGCUGGUUUUCCAGGCAAAUCCGGAAAAUCAAGGCUGAGGCGUGAUGACGAGGCACUACGGUGCUGAAGCAACAAAUGCCCUGCUUCCAGGAAAAGCCUCUAAGCAUCAGGUAACAUCAAAUCGUACCCCAAACCGACACAGGUGGUCAGGUAGAGAAUACCAAGGCGCUUGAGAGAACUCGGGUGAAGGAACUAGGCAAAAUGGUGCCGUAACUUCGGGAGAAGGCACGCUGAUAUGUAGGUGAAGCGACUUGCUCGUGGAGCUGAAAUCAGUCGAAGAUACCAGCUGGCUGCAACUGUUUAUUAAAAACACAGCACUGUGCAAACACGAAAGUGGACGUAUACGGUGUGACGCCUGCCCGGUGCCGGAAGGUUAAUUGAUGGGGUUAGCGGUAACGCGAAGCUCUUGAUCGAAGCCCCGGUAAACGGCGGCCGUAACUAUAACGGUCCUAAGGUAGCGAAAUUCCUUGUCGGGUAAGUUCCGACCUGCACGAAUGGCGUAAUGAUGGCCAGGCUGUCUCCACCCGAGACUCAGUGAAAUUGAACUCGCUGUGAAGAUGCAGUGUACCCGCGGCAAGACGGAAAGACCCCGUGAACCUUUACUAUAGCUUGACACUGAACAUUGAGCCUUGAUGUGUAGGAUAGGUGGGAGGCUUUGAAGUGUGGACGCCAGUCUGCAUGGAGCCGACCUUGAAAUACCACCCUUUAAUGUUUGAUGUUCUAACGUUGGCCCCUGAUCGGGGUUGCGGACAGUGUCUGGUGGGUAGUUUGACUGGGGCGGUCUCCUCCUAAAGAGUAACGGAGGAGCACGAAGGUUGGCUAAUCCUGGUCGGACAUCAGGAGGUUAGUGCAAUGGCAUAAGCCAGCUUGACUGCGAGCGUGACGGCGCGAGCAGGUGCGAAAGCAGGUCAUAGUGAUCCGGUGGUUCUGAAUGGAAGGGCCAUCGCUCAACGGAUAAAAGGUACUCCGGGGAUAACAGGCUGAUACCGCCCAAGAGUUCAUAUCGACGGCGGUGUUUGGCACCUCGAUGUCGGCUCAUCACAUCCUGGGGCUGAAGUAGGUCCCAAGGGUAUGGCUGUUCGCCAUUUAAAGUGGUACGCGAGCUGGGUUUAGAACGUCGUGAGACAGUUCGGUCCCUAUCUGCCGUGGGCGCUGGAGAACUGAGGGGGGCUGCUCCUAGUACGAGAGGACCGGAGUGGACGCAUCACUGGUGUUCGGGUUGUCAUGCCAAUGGCACUGCCCGGUAGCUAAAUGCGGAAGAGAUAAGUGCUGAAAGCAUCUAAGCACGAAACUUGCCCCGAGAUGAGUUCUCCCUGACUCCUUGAGAGUCCUGAAGGAACGUUGAAGACGACGACGUUGAUAGGCCGGGUGUGUAAGCGCAGCGAUGCGUUGAGCUAACCGGUACUAAUGAACCGUGAGGCUUAACCUU